rnacentral:rRNA from 1 species
AUGAUGCCAGUCGUAGGUGCAGGGCGCGCCACCUGUUCGACGGAAUGCACAAGAAGACAGCGGCGAGCGGCAAGUGUCACUUCGGCGACCUCACCGACGACCUCCUCCGGCACGUGCUGUCCUUUCUGCCUGCGGCUGAUGCUCUGCAGACUUGCGUGCUCGACACCCGAUGAUGAUAAUGAAGAAGAUGAUGAUAAUGACAUUGAGUAUGACCCACUAGUACUCGAUGUGCCUCUCAUCUCCCAGCACUUGAAGAUCCUACACCUUAAUCGGGUUGACCUAAAACGCUCCACUCUGAAUUUCUCGCGCUGCUCGGUAUUGGAGGAACUAGAGAUGCAAGAUUGCUACAUUGAUGCACGCAGGAUAUCUUCCAAAUCGCUAAAGCGUCUCUGCAUUACCGACUUUUGUUCCUUCCCUACGAAGUUUCACAUUCGGAUAUUUGCUCCGGGUCUUAUCUCACUGCAACUUGAUAAUUUUGAUGGCUUGACCCCUUCCCUUGAAUACAUGCCAUCUCUAGAAACAGCUUACAUUUGGCUUGACAAUGAUUGCUAUCAUUUGUGUCGUGGUAGCUGGCAGGACUAUGACCUUGAUGACUGCAGUUGUCAUGCUUAUCCCGUUGAUGAGGGUGUGCUUCUCCAUGGUUUGUCCAAUGCUGUUAAUUUGGAGUUGAUAGCUGAUAUUUACACUGACAUGUUUAUCUACAGCUGGGAUUUAAAAUACUGCCCAGUAUUUGACAAACUAGAGACCCUAUUAAUCAAUGAGUGGUUUACGACUAUUGACCUACUGUGCAUUCUCCAACACUCACCAAUUCUUGAGACGCUCACUCUUCAGCUUGGUGACACUAAGGAACUUGUUAGAGCAACGGGAGCACAAGAAAAGAUCGAACAAUCAUUUUUGUGCUCGAACCUUAAGGUUGUCAACAUUGAAUGUACAAAGGUUGAUGAGGGAGUUCACAAGAUUUUGAAGAUCUUGAGUACAUGUGGCAUACUUCGUGAUCAAAUUAGCAUCACGGAGCAAUGGCCUUACUCAGACCGUUUCAGUUUCCAGAAGCCUUUGCCGCUGCUUCCAUCUACUGCAGCAUUAGUUGCAGUUUCCACCAGCGACGACAUCUGA